rnacentral:lncRNA from 1 species
AGCCAACCUCUUCCCUCCUUGUCCUCCCCUGACUCCAGAACUUGGGCCCAGACAGCCAAAGCCCAGGGGACAACGAGUGACUCAGACGCUUCCUGUUUUCUUGGCCACAGUGACAGAAGGAUGGAAACAGCCCUGAGCUGGGGUUCAUGGCUGAAGAGAGGGGGCCUGGAGAGAUGAGGAGCCUGGAGCUGUGGGGCCAGCCUGCCCUGAGAUGCGGGAGGAGUGAGCUGGGCAGAGCCACAUGGGGUGGUCUCCUGGCCUCGCUGGGUGGAAAUGAGGGUGGUUUGUUGGGUGGCCAGGUCCACAAAGCAGGGAGGACUUGGGGCCAGCGUUUCUUGAAAGGUAGGGAUUUUCUGAAUCCUCGGGGGUUGAAGGAGAGACCUGAGGUUGUGCCUGGAUAUUUGGUUCUGACAGAGCAGGCAAGCUGGGAGGCCGUGUGAGUCAGAGAGGGGAGAGCUACACUGGGAGGCAAAGGACCUGAGUUAUCUUGUCCCUGCCCUGCCAUGAAUUUCCGUGUGACCCUGAGAGCCUUCAUAGAGAAAUGAAGACCCGAAGAAACAGGCCUGAGGAUUUCAAUGCUGGGUUUGCCGUGUGGGAACACCAGAGGGCAGGAAGACGAGGAACUGGAACCCGAAGGCUUGGCCGGGGUCCUUGGCAGCUGGCUCAGGGCUCCCCACGAGCGGGGAUGAGGGGAGAAAAUGCAAGUCAGGACCCAGGAAAUCACCAGCAGAAGAGCUUGGACCAAAGAUCUCUGAUGGGGAAGCACAGGCCGGCUUGGCAGCCUGGUUCCAGACUUGCCAGCAGCAUCAUCACUUGUUCACAGGCAGCCCGCCUCCAGCCAUCCAAGGUCACCAUUCAGACCACCAUCUGUUCCCCAACUUCUGCCCUGCAGGGUCCUGGGCAGCCAGGCCAGUGUUGAGUGGGCUCUUUCGGUUUGGAAUUGAUAGUUUUACUGCCAGUGCCACUGUCUGGACCAAGAAAAGCAUUCAUGUGUGCGUGUGCGUGC